UACGUAGGGUGCGAGCGUUAAUCGGAAUUACUGGGCGUAAAGCGUGCGCAGGCGGUCAUUUAAGCCGGACGUGAAAUCCCCGGGCUCAACCUGGGAAUGGCGUUCGGGACUGGAUGGCUUGAGUGCGGCAGAGGGGGGUGGAAUUCCAGGUGUAGCAGUGAAAUGCGUAGAUAUCUGGAGGAACACCGAUGGCGAAGGCAGCCCCCUGGGCCAGCACUGACGCUCAGGCACGAAAGCGUGGGGAGCAAACAGG
rnacentral:rRNA from 1 species